rnacentral:lncRNA from 13 species
UUUAUAGAUGAAUAAAUAUAUUGAUUUUAAAAAAUCGAAUGAUCGAAAUGAAUCGAAACGAGUAUUAAGGUAAGUCUCAUCUGUGGGUAUAUGGAUGUUUGAAUCCGCUCCUGUGCUCACAGCAUGGGUGACGGCACGGGAAGGAAGAGGAGAGGAGAGGGCGUAGCGGGUGAGAGCGAGAGGAGAGGCAAACGCGGGCAAUGUAAGCCAAUGACAGCUCCACGGCGAGUGCCACGUUAAAGAUGUGAUACUGGAGCACCCACAUCGCAAAACGGAAUAUCCAGUCACGCUCUGGACGCAGAUACUUUCACAAAUUAAAAGUGUUUCGAAUUUACUUCGAAAGCAUCUUCAUGUUUUAGCCGCAAACCGAGAUGAACUUUGCGCUUAUCCUAGUUACAUAAGUUAAGAAGUUAAUACAUUAGUUAAGAAGCACUUUUAAUAAUCUCCAUCGAGAUCCUCCCGCGCAUCAUGGCCGAGGCAAAUAACUUUCGCCUUACUUUUCAUUCAGAUUCAAACGGAAUGAACGACUUGAUUAAUAACGAUUGUUAAUUACAAAUAAAUUGGAAAAUAAGAAUUAA